rnacentral:rRNA from 1 species
CAGUCGCCGCGGUAAUACGUAGGUGGCGAGCGUUGUCCGGAAUUAUUGGGCGUAAAGGGAGCGCAGGCGGACAUAUAAGUCCAUCUUAAAAGUGCGGGGCUCAACCCCGUGAGGGGAUGGAAACUGUAUGCCUUGAGUGCAGGAGAGGAAAGCGGAAUUCCCAGUGUAGCGGUGAAAUGCGUAGAUAUUGGGAGGAACACCAGUGGCGAAGGCGGCUUUCUGGACUGCAACUGACGCUGAGGUUCGAAAGCCAGGGGAGCGAACGGGAUUAGAUACCCCCGUAGUCCCUGUCUCUUAUACA